rnacentral:rRNA from 1 species
UACGUAGGUGGCAAGCGUUAUCCGGAAUUAUUGGGCGUAAAGGGAGCGUAGGCGGUUUGAUAAGUCUGAGGUGAAAGUUCGGGGCUCAACUCCGAAUUGCCUUAGAAACUGUCAGACUAGAGUGCAGGAGAGGGCAAUGGAAUUCCAUGUGUAGCGGUAAAAUGCGUAGAUAUAUGGAGGAACACCAGUGGCGAAGGCGGUUGCCUGGCCUGUAACUGACGCUGAGGCUCGAAAGCGUGGGGAGCAAAUAGG